AGCCCAUGGUCGAGAAGGAAUACUUGAGAGGUGCCUGGCUGGCCCAGCGGGGAGAGCGUGUGACCCUGGGGUGCACAUUGACAUCGAGGCAGCUGAGCUCCUCGGGAAGGUCUCUCUGCCUGUCUCAGCUGGUGUCCCGGAAAGAGAAGGCUCGUGGAGGACAGCCGCGGCGCCCUUGGAAGCCCC